AUUGAACGCUGGCGGCAGGCCUAACACAUGCAAGUCGAACGAGUGGCGGACGGGUGAGUAAUGUCUGGGAAACUGCCCGAUGGCGGGGGAUAACUACUGGAAACGGUAGCUAAUACCGCAUACCAUCGGAUGUGCCCAGAUGGGCUUAGCUAGUCGGUGGGGUAAUGGAUCACCUAGGCGACGAUCCCUAGCUGGUCUGAGAGGAUGACCAUCCACACGGGAACUGAGGCACGGUCCAGACUCCUACGGGAGGCAGCAGUGGGGAAUAUUGCACAAUGGGCGCAAGCCUGAUACAGCCAUGCCGCGUGUAUGGAGAGGGCCUUCGGGUUGUAAAGUACUUUCAGCGAGGAGGCGUUAGUCGCAGAAGAAGCACCGGCUAACUCCGUGCCAGCAGCCGCGGUAAUUC
rnacentral:rRNA from 1 species